GGAGAAAUAGAGAAGUCGGAUAAGGCCUUUGAUGGAAGAGGUAAAAGAGACUAUGCAGCCACAUAAAGAAAGGGUGCUCCUGGAUCAAAGCAGGGAUUACAAGGGAACUUCCGGCCCUGGUGGAGCAUGAGGGUCUGUCUGCACUCACAGGUCCCAUGAUUCCAUGGAGCACAAAGGCACGAGAGGCAAAGUGAAAGAAUGACUGCAAAACUGACAGGGAAAAUAAAGAUUCUAAACUAAGAUAAUAGAAACAUGA